rnacentral:tRNA from 1 species
GCCCGGGUAGCUCAGUGGAAGAGCACCGCACUGGUAACGCGGAGGUCGGGAGUUCGAUUCUCCCCCCGGGCA